rnacentral:rRNA from 1 species
GAUGAACGCUGGCGGCGUGCCUAAUACAUGCAAGUCGAGCGAACGGACGAGAAGCUUGCUUCUCUGAUGUUAGCGGCGGACGGGUGAGUAACACGUGGAUAACCUACCUAUAAGACUGGGAUAACUUCGGGAAACCGGAGCUAAUACCGGAUGAUAUUUUGAACCGCAUGGUUCAAAAGUGAAAGACGGUCUUGCUGUCACUUAUAGAUGGAUCCGCGCUGCAUUAGCUAGUUGGUAAGGUAACGGCUUACCAAGGCAACGAUGCAUAGCCGACCUGAGAGGGUGAUCAGCCACACUGGAACUGAGACACGGUCCAGACUCCUACGGGAGGCAGCAGUAGGGAAUCUUCCGCAAUGGGCGAAAGCCUGACGGAGCAACGCCGCGUGAGGGAUGAAGGUCUUCGGAUCGUAAAACUCUGUUAUUAGGGAAGAACAUAUGUGUAAGUAACUGUGCACAUCUUGACGGUACCUAAUCAGAAAGCCACGGCUAACUACGUG